ACGAACGCUGGCGGCGCGCCUAACACAUGCAAGUCGAACGAGCGAGAGAGAGCUUGCUUUCUCGAGCGAGUGGCGAACGGGUGAGUAACGCGUGAGGAACCUGCCUCAAAGAGGGGGACAACAGUUGGAAACGACUGCUAAUACCGCAUAAGCCCACGGCUCGGCAUCGAGCAGGGGGAAAAGGAGCAAUCCGCUUUGAGAUGGCCUCGCGUCCGAUUAGCUAGUUGGUGAGGUAACGGCCCACCAAGGCGACGAUCGGUAGCCGGACUGAGAGGUUGAACGGCCACAUUGGGACUGAGACACGGCCCAGACUCCUACGGGAGGCAGCAGUGGGGAAUAUUGCACAAUGGGGGAAACCCUGAUGCAGCGACGCCGCGUGGAGGAAGAAGGUCUUCGGAUUGUAAACUCCUGUUGUUGGGGAAGAUAAUGACGGUACCCAACAAGGAAGAGACGGCUAACUACGUG
rnacentral:rRNA from 1 species